rnacentral:rRNA from 1 species
ACCAGACUCCUACGGGAGGCAGCAGUGGGGGAUAUUGCACAAUGGGGGGAACCCUGAUGCAGCGACGCCGCGUGGGUGAAGGAGCGUUUCGGCGCGUAAAGCCCUAUCGGCAGGGAAGAAGGAGGACGGUACCUGACUAAGAAGCCCCGGCUAACUACGUGCCAGCAGCCGCGGUAAUACGUAGGGGGCAAGCGUUAUCCGGAUUUACUGGGUGUAAAGGGGGCGCAGACGGCAGCGCAAGCCAGGAGUGAAAGCCCGGGGCCCAACCCCGGGACUGCUCUUGGAACUGCGUGGCUAGAGUGCAGGAGGGGCAGGCGGAAUUCCUGGUGUAGCGGUGAAAUGCGUAGAUAUCAGGAGGAACACCGGUGGCGAAGGCGGUCUGCUGGACAGCAACUGACGCUGAGGCGCGAAAGCGUGGGGAGCAAACAGGAUUAGAUACCCGUGUA